GACGGGGAGCACCACAACGGGUGGAGCUUGCGGUUUAAUUGGAUUCAACGCCGGAAAUCUUACCGGGACCGACAGCAAUAUGAAGGCCAGGCUGAAGACUUUGCCGGAUUAGCUGAGAGGUGGUGCAUGGCCGUCGUCAGUUCGUACUGUGAAGCAUCCUGUUAAGUCAGGCAACGAGCGAGACCCACGCCCACAGUUGCCAGCGUACUCUCUGGAGUGACGGGUACACUGUGGGGACCGCCGCUGCUAAAGCGGAGGAAGGAAUGGGCAACGGUAGGUCAGCAUGCCCCGAAUUAUCUGGGCUACACGCGGGCUACAAUGGGUGGGACAAUGGGUAUCGACACCGAAAGGUGACGGCAAUCUCCUAAACCCAUCCUUAGUUCGGAUUGUGGGCUGCAACUCGCCCACAUGAAGCUGGAAUCUGUAGUAAUCGUGUUUCAAAAUAGCACGGUGAAUAUGUCCCUGCUCCUU
rnacentral:rRNA from 1 species